rnacentral:rRNA from 1 species
UGGGGAAUAUUGGACAAUGGGCGCAAGCCUGAUCCAGCCAUGCCGCGUGAGUGAUGAAGGUCUUCGGAUUGUAAAACUCUUUCGCCGGGGAAGAUAAUGACGGUACCCGGAGAAGAAGCUCCGGCUAACUUCGUGCCAGCAGCCGCGGUAAUACGAAGGGAGCUAGCGUUGUUCGGAAUUACUGGGCGUAAAGCGCACGUAGGCGGAUUUUUAAGUCAGGGGUGAAAUCCCGAGGCUCAACCUCGGAACUGCCUUCAAAACUGGCGACCUGGACCUAAGUAGAGGCAAGUGGAAUUGCGAGUGUAGAGGUGAAAUUCGUAGAUAUUCGCAGGAACACCAGUGGCGAAGGCGACUUGCUGGACUUAUGGUGACGCUGAGACGCGAAAGCGUGGGGAGCAAACAGGAUUAGAUACCCCUGUAGUCCCUGAGCGGGCUGGCAAGGCGCAU